rnacentral:rRNA from 1 species
UACGGGGGGGGCAAGCGUUAUUCAGUAUAACUAGGCGUAAAGUGUCUGUAGGCGGCAAGUUUCGUUGUUAGGUAAAGACUAAGGCUCAACCUUAGGCCACUAACAAAACGUUCUUUGCUAGAGUAAUUUAGAGGAUAGUAGAAUUUCUGCAGUAGGGAUGGAAUCCAUUGACAGCGGAAGGAAUGUCAGAGGCGAAGGCGACUAUCUGGAAAUUACUGACGUUGAGAGACGAAGGCGUGGGUAGCGAAUGGG